AUGACCUAUGAAUUGACAGCCAGUCUAUUUAAAAUUGCCUGUCAGUUCUAUAGGCCACUA
rnacentral:pre_miRNA from 1 species